GGAGGUGGUCGGAGGAUCGCCGGCGGGCGGCCCUGCCGCCCGCGGGAGGAAAGUCCGGGCUCCACAGGGCAGAGAGGUCGUUAACGGCGACCCGGGGCAACCCGAGGGAAAGCGCAACAGAAACCACACCGCCGAUGGCUGGUGAUCCGCAGUCCGCUGUGAGAGGCGGAGGGCGGGGAGGCACAGGCAAGGUUGAAAUCGUGGGGUAAGAGCCCACGCGCGACAGCCGGGUGACCGGCGGCGGGGCAAGCCCCUCUCGGAGCAAGCUCGAAUAGGCGCACCGCGAAGGACGGCCCGUCCGAGCAGCGUCACCCGCGUGGUGGCGUUCCGGUGCGCGGGUCGGAGCGCUCGAGCGGCGCAGCAAUGCGCCGCCUAGAUGAAUGAUCCUCGCCGGCUUCGGGGUGACCCGGGGUCGGAACAGAACCCGGCUUACAGACCAUGUCGGAAG
rnacentral:RNase_P_RNA from 1 species